AUGCACGCUGGCGGCGUGCCUCAUCCCUGCCCGUCGAGCGCACGGACGAGAAGCUUGCUUUUCUGAUGUUAGCGGCGGACGGGUGAGUAACACGUGGAUAACCUACCUAUAAGACUGGGAUAACUUCGGGAAACCGGAGCUAAUACCGGAUAAUAUUUUGAACCGCAUGGUUCAAAAGUGAAAGACGGUCUUGCUGUCACUUAUAGAUGGAUCCGCGCUGCAUUAGCUAGUUGGUAAGGUAACGGCUUACCAAGGCAACGAUGCAUAGCCGACCUGAGAGGGUGAUCGGCCACACUGGAACUGAGACACGGUCCAGACUCCUACGGGAGGCAGCAGUAGGGAAUCUUCCGCAAUGGGCGAAAGCCUGACGGAGCAACGCCGCGUGAGUGAUGAAGGUCUUCGGAUCGUAAAACUCUGUUAUUAGGGAAGAACAUAUGUGUAAGUAACUGUGCACAUCUUGACGGUACCUAAUCAGAAAGCCACGGCUAACUACGUG
rnacentral:rRNA from 1 species